CUCCCCCUCCCCCUCUCUCAUUUGCUCCAGACCCACCCCCCACCACACACACAAUCUCUGUCUCUCCAUCUCUGUGUGUGUGCGCCUCACUCUCUGUCUGUCUGUGUCUCUCUCUCUCUCGCUGUGCACUUCUCUGUCUCUCUCCUUCUCUUUCACUGUCUCUUUGGUCUUUGUGUGUGUGUGCCCCUCUCUGUCUCUGCCUCCCUCUGUAUGUGCUUCUGCCUUUCUCUCUCUCCGUCGACCCCCCACCCACUCUGCGCCGCCCCUCCCCCCGCCUUUUCCUCCAUCUCUCUUACUCUCUAGCCGAGCCUCUCCACCCGCUCAGCAGGGAGCGUUGUGAGUUUCUUUCGAACAAAGUUUAAAGAUCUCUGUUUGAACCCAACCCAUCCGCAAUCAGACUGCAUUUCUAAUCCCCCCCCCCCCCCUCUCUCUCUCUCUCUCUCUCUCUCUCUCUCUCACACACACACACACACACACUGUCUCUUUCUCCCUUUCAGUCAAUCCCCUUCCUCUCCUGGUCCUACUCACGCCUUUUCCCACCCCCCGACUCUGCCUCGGCGAUGAGUCCGCUGUCUGGAUCCCUUUACCCAGGAGUGGGCUGAGGACCCAGCGGUUCGGCAGCGGGGAUCAUCGCACCACGCUCCUGGACCCCUACAACCUCCUGUUCUCCAGCGGCCUCCAGCAUGACCACCGGGCUAGGAGCAGGCAUCCGGGCUGCCGGAGCGCUCGCUGCUCAGUGGCUCAGCCCUGCGCCGCCUUUGCCGGGAGCGGGGAUCCGAGGUGGGAGAAGGCCUCUUCGCCCGGCUCCUGGGCACAGCUACCUGCCUGAACAGCUGCCUGGCACCGAGCCUGCGCUCCCCGAGCACCCGGCCUAGGGUCCGCGACGCCUUCCGGGGCUGAGUAGCCGAAAACUAUCUCCUACUGCAAGAAUCUACCCCGGAAGAGAGAGCCCAGAGAAUUGCCAAAGCUGUCUGCAAGCAGUCAAUUGACGUGAAGGAAAAUUGGGAGCAAUUGAAAACCCAUGCGAGCAACUGGCAGAACAAGGUGGAAAAGGCGUUAGAGAAACUUCAAGAACUGCAGAAAGCUCUGGAUGAUCUUGAGUCUCAUGUGAUAACACCUGAGGGGGUCCACAUUGAUUGGCAACCUGUGAAUGACCUGUUUAUUGACGCAUUGCAGGAUCACAUGGAUAAAACCACAGACUAAAGGUGAAGUCUGACCACGCCAUUUGGCCACUCCUUAGAGAGACACAACUGGUUAUGAUUUAACCUGAAGAUCACCAUGCCUCGGGCAAGUAAAGGGGUUGAGGCGAAGAUCCUUUGUGGUAAGGUCACUGGUGUGGCAAUUGAGCCCUCUCUGCAGGGCAUCACUCUGCAUCACAAACCAACUGUUCAGCCCACGGAAUUUGAAUAGAAUUCUCAUGAAGUUAGCGAGAGGGAUACUACACGAGAGGGAUACUACUGAAUAGAUCGAUGUUUUGAAAAGCGGAUGAGAUAUGAGCAAAAGUUUAAUUGAUGUGGAAGACCAGCCACAAUCAUCAUCAAUGGUGGAGCAAGCUUGAGCGGCCAUGCAACAUUGUGCUGCCGCUAUUUGACUUGUUCAGUGGAAAGGAAGGAAGAUGGUCCAAGUGUCAAAAAUGCUGAAGACCACAUCCUUGUACAACCUCAAAAUUUGAUUGUGUUCAGCAUAUUAUCACUCCUGGUACCCCUAAAUCCUGGUCUAUCAUCUCAGCAGCUUGACUCUGCCCAAAAGCUGGUUACUUGUGACAUUUUUGAAGGAUCUUCCCAAGUCUGAAAAUCAUUUUUGUUUUUGUGCAAUCAGAGUUGGCCAGUGUGGAAGGAGGUCAUUUGGCAUAUCAUAGCUCUUUGAAAUAACUCCCCAAUUCGUCCCCCUCUGCUUGGCAAUGACUUCAACCACUUAUAAAAUCUCUUUAAUGGAGGGAUACUUUGAAGACAUCUGAAAGGAGUAUUAACGAUCCCAGAAUACAACUGAGCCUUAUUAAGUUGUUAGUUCAGAUGAUCAAGAGCUUGAUCAAAGAGGAUUGUUUGAAAAAGUGCCUUAAAAGAGGAAAUGUACAGAGGCUAAGAGGUGUAGGAAGUUAGUGAGUUUUGAAAGAUUUGUGCUCAGGUUGAGGUUCUGGAUGCGAGUUUGCUCGCUGAAGGUGGAGGAAGUCUCUUCUUGGGUUUGAAGCCUACACAAUUAAAUGUUUGGCAACCAGUAGUGGGCCGUUUGAAAUCAAGAGUGGGCAAGAGGACGUAAUUAGACGAGUGCCGAUAUCCUCAAGUAUGGUUGGAUUGGUGGGGAUUACCAAAGUAG